GUGCCAAAAAUUAACGGCUGGAAGAAGAAAGAGAGAGAUGGAUUUCUUGAGUUGUGUACUAUUAUGUCUAAUGGUUGCCUGGAUCGUAAUCCAAGCCCUCCAAAAUUCAUUUGCAAGAAGAAUUCCCACAAACCUUCCACCUGGACCAAAGCCAUUUCCUUUGAUUGGAAAUCUCCUAGAGCUUGGAAACAAACCCCACAUCUCACUAACCAAGCUUUCAAAACGCUAUGGCCCCAUUAUGACUUUACAACUCGGCCAACUAACAACAGUUGUAGUUUCUUCAUCCAUCGUCGCCAAACAAGUCCUCCGAACCUAUGACCGAUUCUUUUGCAACCGAACGAACGCAGAUGCACUCCAAGCCUGCAGCCAUGCCAAGCACGGCAUGCCCUUCAUACCUGUUUCAGCUAAAUGGAGAAACCUUCGCAGAAUAUGCAACUCCCAAUUGUUCGCCACCAAAGUUCUCAACGCCAACCAAGCCAACCGUCAACUAAAAGUGCAAGAGCUCAUAGCUGAUGUCAGCGAAAGCGUGGUAAAAGGUAAGGCAGUUGAAGUUGGAAGGGCUGCUUUCUUAACUACCCUCAAUUUGCUGUCACGUACUGUCUUCUCUGUGGAUCUAGCGGACCCGAAAAGUGAGACGGCUAGAGAGUUCAAGGAGUUGGUGUGGGGUAUCAUGGAAGAGGUCGGGAAACCAAACUUGGCUGACUAUUUUCCUGUGCUUAAGAAGAUUGAUCCCAUGGGGAUACGGCGCCGUUUGACCAAGCACUUCCGGAAGAUGAUUGACCUCUUUGACCGCUUGAUCUUCCAAAGGUUGGAAACAAGAAAAUCACAUGAUUAUGUCACAGCCAAUGAUAUGUUGGAUACUCUUAUAAACAUGAGUGAAGAGAAAAAUGAGGAUAUGGACAUUCCUGAAACUCAUCAUUUGUUUCUGGUUAGUUAUGGAUAUAGCUUUCCUACAUAUACUAAUUGCUAAUUAGAGUGUAUCUUUUUGUGAUUAUUAAGGUUGUUUUUGGUUUUGUUUAUACCAUCUAAACUGACUUAAAGACGGUUGAGAUAGUACACGUAGUUUUAUUAGUUCAUUAUUAUACAUAUAUGCUAGCUCCGAUUAAUUUUCUGACUAAGUAAUCAGCCAUUUGGUGAAUAAUAUAGGAUUUAUUUGUUGCGGCCACAGAAACAACCUCAGCCACAUUGGAAUGGGCAAUGGCUGAGCUACUAUGCAACCCUGAAAAACUGUCAAAAGCUCAAGAGGAGCUAGAACAAGUAAUUGGGAAAGGGAAACCAGUUGAGGAAACAGACACUGCUCGACUUCCUUACUUACAAGCAAUAAUCAAAGAGACCUUUCGGUUGCACCCAGCUCUUCCGUUUCUUCUCCCCCGCAAAGCCGAAGCAGACCUGGAAAUCUGCGGGUAUUUUGUACCCAAGGGUGCACAAGUGUUGGUCAAUGCAUGGGCCAUAGGCAGAGACCCUGGCUUUUGGGACAACCCGGCCUCAUUUAUCCCAGAGAGGUUCUUGGGAUUGGAUAUGGAUGUCGCUGGCGGAAGCUUUGAGCUUAUCCCGUUUGGUGGUGGGAGGAGAAUAUGUCCUGGCUUGCCCUUGGCAAUGAGAAUGUUGAACUUGAUGUUGGGUUCACUUCUUAACUCGUUCCAUAAUUGGAAGCUUGAAGAUGGAGUUGUACCAGAAAACAUGAACAUGGAAGAGAAGUUUGGCAUCACUUUGCAAAUGGCUCAGCCUCUGAGAGCUGCUGCCAUGGCCGUGCCAUAAAAUAUCCUACUAGCUAUUUGUUUUUACCUAAGUUAAUAUGUUGUGAAAUUGAAUAAAAACUAUUCAUGCCAUGGAAUAAAAACUAUUCAUGCCAUGGAUACUCUCACAAGUUCCUCCAAAUAGGUUGUGUCCAUUUUCUUGCCAUGGAAUAAAAAUUGCAUAUUUAACUUUCAGUUGUCCAUUUUUUCUUAUGCUCAUCUGGAAUGGAUUUUGUUUACUCAACGUUGUUUUAACUUCUAGUUUCAGGUUUUCUUCUUCGUGUAGAGCAUUCAUUUUAUUAUAAUAGAUUACAAAACCCAAUCUGAUUUUAAACAAUAAAAUUAUUGCCAAUAAUGAACCAUUUGUUUGAAAGAAGAAAAUUAUUGGCAAUAAUUAAUAGUUUUAGGUGGGUCGAGAUGACAUAUGGGAGAAGAAAAUAAUGGAAGGAAACAACAAAGUAAGAUCCAUUUGUUAAUCAAAGAGUUUUUGCUGUUCACAGUCGCUUAAGGCAACUGCGAAAUCAAACUCUCUCUUUAUUUGAAAAACUUCAAAUUUUUCGCUUUCGUACCAACUAGAGAUUAUAACGACCUUUCGAACAAUAAAUCGAGCGAAGAACAAUUCCAACCAUUGCAUUUCUUGCUAAAAUAUGAAACCUAACUUGAGAAUAUUUGUUUGUAGGAAUUUUUUAUGUAUUCUUCUCCUUGUAGGAGAUCAUAUUUAUAAUACAACGAAACUUUAAUGGGCAAGUAAAUAAUAAAUUCAUAUUUCUAUUUACAGUAGGAAAUCAGGAAUUAAAGUAAAUCAAUUACAAUUAUAAUAAGAAUUCUUGGUAUGAAAAGAAAGUAAGUCAGUGGUCCACAAGACACGCCAACACUCUCUCUCACGUUGGUACAUAGAUGUCGUCAAUGCCCAACUGAUCCAGUGAAUUGUGGAAUGCUUUACUGGAAAUUGCCAAUUUGGCGUCAGCAUUGACAUCAGCCCAAAACUCGGGUUCGCGCUCGGGCUGAACUCCCUCCUGGGCCUACCCAGGUUCGUGGCCCCCACCUCCUACCCGGGCAAGCCUUUGCUGCUAGAAACGUAAUUUGGGCUCAAAACGCUCCCAGCCCGCCCCCUAACUUCUCCACUGAAACUGCUCUUAUACCCAAGCAAGUUCAAGUAUUCCUCCCUUUAUUUAUUUAUUUUUUUAAGAAAAGAGAUAUAUAUUAUUACUGUCUAUUUUGCCACAUGGUAGGAAAGUCCCCACCUAAGUUUUUCUCUUUCGUGUUUAUCUCCUAGCAUGUAGGAUAUAUAUAUAUAUAUAUAUAUAUAUUAUUGAAAAAAUAUGCUCAUGUCCUCUAAACAAUUGUGCCAAAAAUUAACGCCUGGAAGAAGAAAGAGAAAGAUGGAUUUCUUGAGUUGUGUACUAUUAUGUCUAAUGGUUGCCUGGAUCGUAAUCCAAGCCCUCCAAAAUUCAUUUGCAAGAAGAAUUCCCACAAACCUUCCACCUGGACCAAAGCCAUUUCCUUUGAUUGGAAAUCUCCUAGAGCUUGGAAACAAACCCCACAUCUCUCUAACCAAGCUUUCAAAACGCUAUGGCCCCACUAUGACUUUACAACUCGGCCAAAUAACAACAGUUAUAGUUUCUUCAUCCGCCGUAGCCAAACAAGUCCUCCGCACCCACGACCAAUUCUUCUGCAACCGAACUAUCCCGGAUGCAGUCCAAGCCUGCAAGCAUGCCAAGUAUGGCAUGCCGUGGCUGACGGUUUCCUCCACGUGGAGAAAC
rnacentral:lncRNA from 1 species